CUGAACCCCACAACUAGACAAAAUCCCUCGGGUUUAGGGGUGAAAUCCCUCGAGUUUGGUCAUAUCUUUAGAGAGGGGAGCAAGUAGUGAGGCUAUAAAAGGUCUGCAGUGAGAAAUGAGGCACCUGGGAGGGGGUUUCUGCUCUGGCAGAAGCAGAAACCAGCAGCAGCAGCAGGCUGCCCUGCUGGGAGGGUGGAGGCAAUGGCUCAGCUCUUCCUUCUCCAGUCCUGGCUUGGCACUGUGGGAUGAGCACUGGCCAUACUACUGAAGUACGAAAAGCUGGUGUGUGCAGCCUGCGAGCCCCCUGCAAGCCUUGAAGGGCUGUGGUCCGGGGUGUCUGUGGGUGUCUCAUCAGCCAAUACUCAUUAAAUAACCCUUUCCGCCCAUGCUGCCCCAUUUGGUUCGUCUGCCUCUACAAUGUUGCAUGUGGGACUGAUUUUGGAGAUUGAAAAGCUUCUGCAUCUUCUCAUUACCCCUGCAAUGUCCCCUCUGAGAGGGGAUUUGAAUUUCUGAUCAUUUGCAUGUAAUCUUUGGCAUGCAAUGUUCACCAUUCCUAUUUAUUUUCCAUUUUUAACACUUGUAAGACGGGAACACACCUUUUUACAGAAACAUUACUGGCAUCACAGUUACGGGUAAAAAGUCGACAUCUGCCAGCCUGUUCAGUCAAGAUGCUGUGGGUUUUUUCCUUGCUACCUAGAAACCAUUGUAUUAACGUUGGUCUUGUUGGAAUGCUUUCUUGUGAAAGAUGUUUUUUUUUUUUUUUUUUUAAUAAAUCCAGUAAAAAAGGCAAAAACAUUUGAUAUAAUCAGUCACCCAAAUAAUGCAAAAAAAGGGAAUGUAGGGCAGAAGCAGAGGUUUGUAUUUAGGGUUCCUAGUUCCCUCUAAGAACAGGUUUAAAUUUCAAGCAAAGCAGGCCCUUUCUGCCAAAGGGAAAAAAAAAUCUUGUUGAAAGUGUUGUUCUUCUUUCAAGAAAAAUAUACGAUUUAACAUGACAGUUUUAAUGAGCCUAAUUGUGAAGUCUGACAGUAGAUGUUGACCUUGUAAUGGGUCUCUGCUAUGAAAAAGAGGUUAUUUACUUUUCCAACCAGAAAAGCUAUUGUUAUUUUCUCAUUCUAUUAGGUAAAUUAUAGUAGCAUUGGUCACACGGCACCAUGGUUGUGUGGAGCUCAGUGGAAAGCUAAUUCCUUUUGUUUUUUUUUAGGUUUGGUGGAUUGUUAUUUCAUGUUGUUUUGUUGUUGCUGCUUUAAAAAAAAAAAAAAA